rnacentral:tRNA from 1 species
GGGGAUUUAGCUCAGCGGUAGAGCGUUUGCCUAGCAAGCGCAAGGCCCUGGGUUCAGUCCCCAGCUCCG